rnacentral:lncRNA from 1 species
ACCUGGGAAAAAGUUGCUUUUGGAGAAAAAUAAUCAGUUCUUAAAGAUAAUUUUAAAAAUUCACAGAAGAAGCAAUUUUAAAACCAGAAGCAAGCACAUCUUUAUUGUCAUGGGAGGAGUGGAUUCCAUCUAUGAAGAGCUUGAAAUCAGUUUUGAAAAUAGAGACUACCAGCUUCUUCUUGCCUGUUGAUUGUUCUUGAGAUGCCAUCUAAGGUGAUGUGUGGCGGAGGCAGGGCAAGGAAAGAGACACCUGCUGUCAACUGGGCAGAUUUAUACAGCCACUUG